GAUGAACGCUGGCGGCGUGCCUAAUACAUGCAAGUCGAGCGAACAGACGAGGAGCUUGCUCCUCUGACGUUAGCGGCGGACUGGUUAGUAACACGUGGAUAACCUACCUAUAAGACUGGGAUAACUUCGGGAAACCGGAGCUAAUACCGGAUAAUAUAUUGAACCUCAUGGUUCAAUAGUGAAAGACGGUUUUGCUGUCACUUAUAGAUGGAUCCGCGCCGCAUUAGCUAGUUGGUAAGGUAACGGCUUACCAAGGCAACGAUGCGUAGCCGACCUGAGAGGGUGAACAGCCGUAAUGGAACUGAGACACGGUCCAGACUCCUACGGGAGGCAGCAGUAGGGAAUCUUCCGCAAUGGGCGAAAGCCUGACGGAGCAACGCAGCGUGAGUGAUGAAGGUCUUCGGAUCGUAAAACUCUGUUAUUAGGGAAGAACAAAUGUGUAAGUAACUAUGCACGUCUUGACGGUACCUAAUCAGAAAGACACGGCUAACUACGUG
rnacentral:rRNA from 1 species